rnacentral:lncRNA from 1 species
GUUUUGAAACUAAUACACGCAAGAUUGGCCAAAUUUCUAUUUUGCUUUCAAAUUAUAUUUUUAAAUGAUGAUGUUGAGUGCUAUCUGAUGUUUGCUUUAGAUCCCACGACUCUCUAUCGUGCACGGACAGAAUACCAGAGUGAAUUCAAGAGGCACUGGAAAGAGGACAGGACAGAUUCUGUUCAGUGGGAUAUGAUCAAUAUAGUGGAGAAAGGAAAGAAAAUCCUUCAGAAACAUUUGGAGAUUUUUGCUGCCCACGGUCUGUGUCCAAAUAAAUGUGGGCUGUUGUAUCAGAGAGUGAUGAACUGCACUUCCUGCCAGUAUGGGCUCUUUAUGUGUCAGUCAGCCAUGCCACCACUAGACUGUGGAGAGCAUCAUCUUGAGGCAGAUGAAGGAGAGGAGGUGGUGCUGGACUGUUUCCUGCCCUGGCACGCUCUUGUAGUUGGGCAGAACGAGUACCAAUACUCUUGGCAUCCUGGAGAAAAGAAUCUGUCAGAUGAGGGAGAGUAUGAAGCGCUGGUGGUGACAGAGGAGUCUAAAAUUGUCCUCAAUCAGCUGAAAGUCAAUGAGGAAGGCAUCUACCGCUGCCUCCUACAGGAUCAAAAGGGUACUACGCUGUCCCGCAUGUAUUUCGAACUUAAAGGUAGGCGACGUUUAUUAAAUUUAAUAACUCAUUGUGGUCUAGAUUUGUCCUCCUCUCAUCUGUGUCUCUUUCCCUCAGUCAACCCACUGCCGUCUACAACCCCUAGACUGAUUGUGGCUUUGCCGUCCCUGCCCUCGGGUUAUGAUGCCACACUUCACGGCCUUCAGAGGAGCAGUUUCAUCAUUAUAGUGAUUUUACUGACUGUACUCAGCAUCACGGGCAGCCUUGUCAUCAUAGUGAACCUAAGGUAUGUCAUAACAGGAUGGUUAGAACAUAUUAAAAAGGGGCUUUUGGGGAAGUCGUGGCCUAAUGGUUAG